UAGCGGGAGGCUUAACACAUGCAAGUCGAGGGGUAUAGUAGCAAUACUAGAGACCGGCGCACGGGUGAGUAACGCGUAUGCAACCUGCCCUUUACAGGAGGAUAGCCCGCUGAAAGGCGGAUUAAUACUCCAUAAUAUGGUACAGCCGCAUGGUUGAACUAUAAAAGCUUAGGCGGUAAAGGAUGGGCAUGCGUGACAUUAGCUGGUUGGCGGGGUAACGGCCCACCAAGGCUGCGAUGUCUAGGGGUUCUGAGAGGAAGGUCCCUCACACUGGUACUGAGACACGGACCAGACUCCUACGGGAGGCAGCAGUGAGGAAUAUUGGUCAAUGGGCGCGAGCCUGAACCAGCCAUCCCGCGUGCAGGAAGACGGCCCUAUGGGUUGUAAACUGCUUUUGUGCAGGAAGAACGUACAGAUCGUGAUCUGUAGUGACGGUACUGCAUGAAUAAGCACCGGCUAACUCCGUGCCAGCAGCCGCGGUAAUACGGAGGGUGCAAGCGUUAUCCGGAUUUAUUGGGUUUAAAGGGUGCGUAGGCGGUUAAAUAAGUCAGUGGUGAAAAGCUGCAGCUCAACUGUAGUCCUGCCAUUGAAACUGUUUUACUUGAGUAACCAUGAGGUAGGCGGAAUGUGUAGUGUAGCGGUGAAAUGCUUAGAUAUUACACAGAACACCGAUUGCGUAGGCAGCUUACUAGAGGUUCACUGACGCUGAUG
rnacentral:rRNA from 1 species